UACGGGGGGGGCAAGCGUUGUUCGGAAUUACUGGGCGUAAAGGGCUCGUAGGCGGCCAACUAAGUCGGAUGUGAAAUCCCCAGGCUUAACCUGGGAACUGCAUCCGAUACUGGAUGGCUUGAAUUCGGGAGAGGGAUGCGGAAUUCCAGGUGUAGCGGUGAAAUGCGUAGAUAUCUGGAGGAACACCGGUGGCGAAGGCGGCAUCCUGGACCGAGAUUGACGCUGAGGCGCGAAAGCCAGGGGAGCAAACGGG
rnacentral:rRNA from 1 species